GCUCAGGAUGAACGCUAGCUACAGGCUUAACACAUGCAAGUCGAGGGGUAGCAGGGUAGCAAUACCGCUGACGACCGGCGCACGGGUGAGUAACACGUAUCCAACCUUCCCAUUACUCGGGGAUAGCCUUUCGAAAGAAAGAUUAAUACCCGAUAGUACAAUGAAUAGGCAUCUAUUUAUUGUUAAAGAUUUAUUGGUAAUGGAUGGGGAUGCGUUCCAUUAGAUUGUUGGUGAGGUAACGGCUCACCAAGUCUUCGAUGGAUAGGGGUUCUGAGAGGAAGGUCCCCCACAUUGGUACUGAGACACGGACCAAACUCCUACGGGAGGCAGCAGUGAGGAAUAUUGGUCAAUGGGCGAGAGCCUGAACCAGCCAA
rnacentral:rRNA from 1 species